GCAGGUCUUUAAAUCCAGAUUGAAAACCUAUUUUUAUUCCCGGCUUUUAACUCUGUAGGAAACUGACACCUUUCUUCUCAGUUUUAUUGUAUGUUUAAUUUUGCUUGUUGUGUUGAUUUGUGUUGUUCAGCACUUUGGUCUGCCUGCUGUGUUUUUAAAGUGCUAUACAAAUAAACGAUGAUGUUGAAAUAUUAAAGGUAAAAAUAUUAAUGCUGCAGUAGAAUAUUCCGACUGCUACAGGUGUUGAACUUUGAGCUCAUUUUAAAUACUUCAUAUAUUCUGUUUAUGCAUCAUAUUCUAUAAAUCAUGUGUUUACAUGACACGCAGCACAAUCACGUGUGGAUGUCCACAUAUCUACGAAAUCUGCUGAAAAGGCUCAAGCUGUGUGGGAAAUGGUUAACCGUUGGGAUCUACAGGGUUAUUAAAAUGUAAAUGAAAAAUGAAGCACUGGCAAAAAAAAGUCAACAGGCUGUAAAGUAAAAGAGUAAAAUGUCUGUGACAGCGCUGUGGGACACGGGGACACGGGGAGAGGACAGCGCUUUACUUUUAGAUUUGUCCUGCUGGGACACCACUGCUCCAAACGAAUGCACAAAACCAUCACCGCAGCACAACAAACAGCAGUUCAGCUGUCAGAACCACACUCUGUGUUUUACAUUUCUGUGAGGUCACAGCAGGUGGAACAGGUCGAGCUGGUCUGCAAACACACCUGAGAGGUGUCACCGGCUCCAGUCUCACCUCCACCUGCCUGAGAAGGGAAACGUCUCCUCACAGCAACACAGAAAAUCACAGACAUGGACAAACUGGCCGGGAUUGUCGGGAAAAAAGUGGGAGAUGCGGUGGAGGGUGCGGUGAAGGGCGCUCUGCAUUUAGGGAACAAAGACAAAGACAAGAAUAAGAAGAAAGGUGGAGGAGGAAUCUUCUCACGGACAGGAGGCGACAAGGACAAAAAGAAGGAGGUGGACAAGGGCGAAGACAAAGGAGGACUCUUCAACAGAGAGGACGAAUAUGAGAAGGAGCGGAAGUCCGGAUUCAAGGGUCUCUUCACUGAAGGGCCGCUCCCUGAAGCUGGCGGUGGUGGCGGAGCAGCGAUGGAAGGAGAAGGUGAAGAAAAACCACAAAGUGCUUCUGCCAACGAUGGGGAUUUGCUGGAUGAUCUUUUCGAAUUGGCUGAAGAAACAUCUCAAGGAAACUAAAACAGGAAGCUGUAAAGCACAUCCCGACCCCCGAGGAAUCAACUCCCACUCCUGAAUAAAGACUAAAAAAAAAAUCCACUUUUUUGUCCGUCUUUCAGAAACGCACAGCUUCAGGCAGAUAACUCGUAAGCUGGAAAGGAAAUGGCGUGCCACAAACCAUUAGAGGAAAAAUGACCAAUAAUCAUCCCACAGAUGUGAGUCACAGUUUAACAGUUCAUACACUGUUAUUUAAAGUGUGAAGUGUCUGUGGCCUGAAGAGCGUGGCAGCACUUUGAGCUCACAUUCAGUGAUGGGCGGUUUGUGUUGGCUCAUGUUUUGGAACUAGUUCGAUGCACAGAAACAUACGAAGUAACAUCAGUACAGAAAAGGAGAGCACUUCUGUGAAUGAUGAAUUAGCCGGUGGAACAGGUCGGGCUGCUCUGCAGACACACCUGAUUCCUCAGCUGAGCCACCUGAUGGGCGUCGUCGGCCGCGCUCUCACCUGAGAGCUGAACUUAAAGCACACCUGAGUGCGCCUCAGAGACAGAAACACCGCAGAGAUGGACAACCUCGCACAGAUAGCCGGCCAAAAAGCGGGUAGCUUGGUGGAGGGGGCAGUGAAGGGAGCUCUGAAUUCAGCCAACAAGAACAAAGGUGAGAAGAAAGGAGGAGGAGGCGGCAUCUUCUCGAUGUUUGGAGGCAACAAGAACAAAAAUAAGGACAAAGACGAUAAAGGAGCGCCCCUCCCAAAUGUGCCCAACAAAGAUGAUAGUGGGGGCAAGAAACCAGUACCCGAAGGGAAUUUAGCGGGAACUACAGGAGGGAGCGUGGGACCGACGAUGGGAGGAGGUGCAGGAGGAAGUGGAGGAUCAGCUGGACCUGUAGGACAGGAAGGAGUCACAACAGACAGAGAUCUGAUGGAUGAUCUGUUCGAGCUGGGAGACGAAAUGAAAGGGAACUGAAGCAAAAGGAAGAAAACCCGACUCCCACAACCACUCAGAGAAGAUCCGGAAGGACGAGAGCGCCCACAUUUUUCUCUGGUCUACAGUUUUGCACAGAACUAAAGAUUUUAAUGCAUUAUCAGCCUAUUAUUCACCGUGUUUUAUUCACCGUGUUUUCUGCUUUUAGAUAACCAGUCAGUGUGUUUAACUUUAUCAUAAUAAUAGCACCAGCAAAGACGUUAUGAAUGAAUAAAUUUAAAUGUUUUACUGGAGGGGACUUUUCCUUCUUUUGGUCAGUUUGUCAGUAUUUUGUCUCGUAGAAGCUUCUCGUAAACUCCAUGGUGGAUGUUUUAAAACAUAUAUUAGUUUUAAUUUUAAGAAAAAUAAAAAUCUUACACAUAGUUCAAUAUAUGAUCAUUGAAAAUCAAUAAAAGCAAUCUGAAAUAAAUACUGUCAUAACAAACAGAAUUAAAUAAAGAAAUAAAUUUAUGAAAAUGUGUUUUUUUCCAUUUACUUCUGAUGUUUUUCCUUAUGUUGACAUACACUUUGAUUCAUUAUAAACUCAAUCAUUUAAAUAACAUUUCAAACCUCAAGAUUACUCAAGUAGUGAGUAACUGUUUGAAAUGUCCGAUUUAUUUUUUAGAUAAAUGCUAUCAGACAAACAAAAAUAAAUAAAGAUACAAAUCUUAGUAUUUUCAACAGGAAUAUAUGUAAAAACAACAAUUCUAAUUUCCAG
ensembl:lncRNA